UNCAUGAUACUAGUGUGGCAUGGCAG
rnacentral:piRNA from 1 species